rnacentral:pre_miRNA from 1 species
AAAAAGAAAAACCCUGAAUUUCCGUGUCCAACGUUUGACCGUCCGUCUUAUUUUAAAAAAUUAUAAAAAAAAGACAAGUCACGCAUAAAGUAUUAAUCAUGUUUUAUCAUCUAACAACAAUGAAAAUAGUAAUUAUAAAAAAUUUUCAUAUAAGAUGGACAGUCAAACGUUGGACACGAAAACCCAAAAUUUGUCUUUAA